UACACAAAGGAUUAACAAAUUUAUAGCUCUUUUAAAAUUCUUUGUAUGGUGGUACAUGGUCAUUUGUAGAUGGUGGAGAAAUUUGUUUAGUUAAUACCAAUAAUCACCAAGAUUAUGGCAUACAAACUAGUUCUACAACCCCUAUAUCCACCUUCAGCUGAGAUGGUUUGCAAAGUGCUUACUACAGUGCCUGGCACAUAGUAGGUAUUUUAUAAAUGCUUA
rnacentral:ncRNA from 1 species